rnacentral:snoRNA from 1 species
AACCUAUGGUGAGGGCAACUUCUCAAAAGGUGUUUAUCUCUCCCAUGCAUCUUAGAGUGUUUCUAAAUCCAUCUGUACGAAAGAAGAAAUAUCAUUACAUAAUUU